CAUCCCUAGCGCUCUGUGUAGGUGGUGACGUGGGAGGGGGUGAAAUGCAACCUUUAUUUUCCUAACUGCCUGUCAUCCAAUUCCCCGUUUCCCUCUGACUUGCAUGAGUGAUGAGGUCAUCCCGGCGCAGAAAAAUCCAACUCCUAUUUUUCAGACCCAAUAAAGGCCGGCAUUGUGUGUCUGCGUAAACACAGGCCAGACGGGCAGGGCGGCGGGGACACGAGUGGCCCGCCCUCUGGCGGUCGCAGGAGACGAUGGUGCCCCGAGCUCCACCGCCCCGAACAACGGCAGGGAGGCGGAGAGGGUGCGUGCUAAAAUGUAUCCUUUUCCACUUAUUAUAAAAUCUUUGAGUUGGAAGAAAAUUUAGAGGACAUUUGUUCAAAUCUACCACUUAAGAUGGGCACUUCUGGAUUCAAACUGGUGUUCCAGUAUGCACCAUGUGGCUUGCCCACUGCUAGUCAUGGGAGAUGUUUCAAAAAUGGAGACAGGACCCCAGCCCCAAAGGACUCAUCAUGAUGCGGUGACAUACAUAAGACCCUGGCUGUGCAUCUGUGACUAUGAACCGUGGCCAAAUGAGAAAAGCCUGAUAGAUGUGGCUGGAGUGAUUAAUAGCAGCCUGUCUCAGAGCUCUGAGAGUGUGUGUUUUCAGGGCAGGAGUUAGGAGGGAGGAAUCCAGAGAUGGGGCCAGUGAAGAUGGCCCGGUUUAUGCCUUACCCACUGUUACAAGUUAAUGAAUCUAAUGAACCGCCAGGGGAAAUGAUUUGCCUGAGAAACCGAAGAGCCUGAAGGUGGGAACUCAUCUUGGAAGAAUCCAGCCUAUAAACCAGACCCAGAACCAACACCUUAGUUCUCAAUAAAUCAGAUGGGUCCUCAUCCCA
rnacentral:lncRNA from 1 species